rnacentral:rRNA from 1 species
GCGCAUGCAGGCGGCCUGUUAAGUCAGAUGUGAAAGCCCGGGGCGUUAACCUCGGAAUUGCAUUUGAAACUGGCAGGCUAGAGUCUUGUAGAGGGGGGUAGGAAUUUCAGGUGUAGCGGUGAAAUGCGUAGAGAUCUGAAGGAAUACCAGUGGCGAAGGCGGCCCCCUCGGACAAAGACUGACGCUCAGAUGAGAAAGCGUGGGGAGCAAACAGGAUUAGAUACCCUGGUAG